ACGCACGCACCGCCGGGCGCGCGCCCGCCCGCCCGCCGCAGCCACCGCUUGCUUGGCGGAGCGCCCGCCCGGGCCACACACACACACACACACACACACACGCGGUCUCCCCCCCGGAGCGCGGCUGGCCCGGCGCGCACACCCGCCGCCCUCCGGGGCCGCCGCACGCCGGGGCGUGAGCGUGCCCCGAGGCGAGCCCUCGCCGGGACCACAGCGCCCCCGGCCUCCACCCCCGCCCCGCAGCCUCGGGCCCUGGAGUCCCCAGCUCCGGGAAAGGCACGGUGGCAGGGGACUUUGCAGCAGUUGCCUCUCUGCCCAAAGGACUUCCCCCAGGAAGACUCCAAAACCUCCUGCACAUGUUCCCAAAGAAACCACACAGCUCGCGAUUACAGACAUCCUACGCUAGAUCGUUCCUCUGCAGCCCUCGGGAGGGACUCAGGUGGGUGGCUGCUCUGGACAGGAAAGGCCCUAGCUUCCUGAAGGGGACGCAGUGCAACUCCGCGUGGCUGCGUGAUCAAGGAAGCCGCCUAUUCGGAACCUCAUCAGAACACCUUCGCCACGGAGUUGGUCUGCAGUAACCGAGAAAAAGAUUCCCAUGUGCUCCCAGAACUCCCUUCUCAGAUUUUCCUUCCUCUAGAGAAGAGAGCGGGCUUUGUGGCUCAGAGUGGCCUGCUCUCCAGCGCCCUGGCAGACACUGUGUGCAGCAGCAAGGCCACUAUGAAUCUCGGUAUCGGAGAAGGAAGCUGUGGGGAGGAAACAGGCUGCUUCCCCAGAGUAGCUGUAAAGAUUCGCAGCUCUCCCAGACCGGGCUUGCUAGUAUCGGGAGGCCUCCGAGCUGGCCCAUUUCAAGCCUCCGAGAGGUCGUUAGGACAUCAGAAGAGGGCUGCCAACAACAACUUAGAUUCAGACCACUCACAUGCCUCCCUCCCCCUCAAAGACAGAACCAGGCUGGCCUCAACCGCAGAGAACCGCCGACCUCUUCCUGAAUGCUGGGAUCACAGGACACCAUGCCCGGCUUAAACUGUCUUAUCCAUCUCAGGUUUUCUUUUCUUUUUUUCAGGACAGCCAAGGCUACAGACACCCUUUCUCGAAAAAACAAAACAAAAAAAGAAAAUAUAGUGUGGUGCGGUGCUAUGCUUGCCUAGUAACUGGAAACCCUGGCACCAAUCUCAGCGCCGCACUAAAUAAAUGAAUAAAUCUAAAAUGAGGUCAAAAGGGAAUAACGACAGCAUGCCUACAGAAGGUGGAGGGGCAGAGAUAGCACAAGAGGCACGCCUUCUUCGUUGCAUUGCGGUUCUUUCUCUGAGACGACUUCACCUCAGACUUGUUCUGUUAAUCUGGGGCAUGCAGGAAGCCUAAGGUUUAAUGGACUGCAUAAAUACCCAGCCUAUGGUUGGCCCCAGUUGUGAUCUGGAAGUACAGUCAGGAGGAUCAGAUUUGGUUUCAAUGUUGUCUUUUUUUCAAGACAGGGUGUUGGAGGUUGGUCUGAUACUAAUUACUGGCCCUCUGUGUAAACCUGCCUGAUUCUUACCUGAUUGACCAAGUAAACAGCCUAUACCUGGGCUGGGCAGAAUGGGUGGGCGUGGCUAAAGUCCCAGGGCUUUGGAGAAUCCCAUGAGAAAUCACAGGAAGGACAGAGAGGAAGGAGGAGGAUGCCAGGAUUGGUUAGUCUGGAAAAUACACCACAUGGGCUGAGAAAGGACUCUAGUAAUGGCGUGAAAAGGCUCAGAUGGAAACCAUGGGAUUAUGGAUGGAAGGUAGUCCAGCUGAGGAGGAUUAAGGCAGAUGGUGUUGGUUGGGGGCUGGGAGAUGGAUGGUGAGGUUUCUGAGACUGUGUGUAAGUGAAAUAUCCGCCCAGCCCAAGGUAAAGAAGGCAAUUAUAAAUCUAA